rnacentral:rRNA from 1 species
AGGUGAAAUUCUCAGAUUAACUAAAGACUAACUUAUGCGAAAGCAUUUGCCAAGGAUGUCUUCAUUGAUCAAGAACGAAAGU